rnacentral:snoRNA from 1 species
AAGCCCGACAUUAGCACCACUGCAAUAGGCGGCUACAUGGACAUUUUACUCCCCUUCCAUAGUCACCUACCCCUGCGUGCGAGAUCU